GCCGGAGUGGUGGAAUUGGCAUACGCACGGGACUCAAAAUCCCGCGGGCCUUAGCGCCCAUGAGGGUUCGACCCCCUCCUCCGGCA
rnacentral:tRNA from 1 species